rnacentral:rRNA from 1 species
UACGUAGGGACCAAGCGUUGUUCGGAUUUACUGGGCGUAAAGGGCGCGUAGGCGGCAAUUCAAGUCAUCUGUGAAAUCUCCGGGCUUAACCCGGAACGGUCAGGUGAUACUGUUUUGCUAGAGUGCGGAAGGGGCAAUCGGAAUUCUCGGUGUAGCGGUGAAAUGCGCAGAUAUCAGGAGGAACACCGGUGGCGAAGGCGGUUCUCUGGGCCUGUACUGACGCUGAGGAGCGAAAAGCGUGGGGGAGCGAACAGG